UUCUGCGGUGUUCGAUAGCGACAAGUGUGUCUUGAGCCGAUAAGCAAUUGCUUCGGAAACUGAUAUUGAAAUGGCGUGCAGGCCCGCAAGUCGGGAAGCCCAGGUUUCAAUCGAUGUAUCCACUUGAACCUACAUGGUUCGAGAACCAGUUCGUACCGGCAUUGCGGGACU
rnacentral:other from 1 species